rnacentral:rRNA from 1 species
GACGAAGGUGGCGACCGUUGUUCGGAAUCACUGGGUAUAAAGAGCGCGUAGGCGGCAAGGUAUGUCGGGUGUGAAAUCCCUCGGCCUAACCGAGGAAUUGCGCCCGAAACUACCUUGCUUGAGGAUGGAAGGGGAGCGUGGAAUUCCUGGUGGAGCGGUGAAAUGCGUUGAUAUCAGGAGGAACACCGGCGGCGAAGGCGACGCUCUGGUCCAUUACUGACGCUGAGGUGCGAAAGCCAGGGGAGCAAACGGG